UUAGUUAGUGAGGCUGUUAGUUAUGUUUGAGAGUGAGGCUGUUUGUUAGUUAUGUUUGAGAGUGAGGCUGUGUUUGUCAAUAAGGCUGGGGAUGUGUUGGAAUUUGUGAGUGAAGCAGAGUUUGAUUAUGAAUGUUGGUUAUUAUCCAUUACUUAUAUUCUUUUCUGAGUGGCACAAACAUCUGUUGAGUUGAGUUAGUGAUACUGUAAACACCUGUGUUAUUUUAAUGUAAUUUUAUUUUCAUACUGACUCUAUACCUAAUGCAUGUUUACCAUAAAGUGUAAUCAAAUGGAAAGUGCUUCAGCACAUUUCUGCACUAAAACCCUGUUGACCCAAGGGUUAGGUGCUUUUUGUACUAAAUCAUAAAUAAAUGCUGUACAGAGGAUUGGCCCAAUAGAAUUAACCAGAAUGACUAUAAGUGUUUUUGUAUUUAAUUUAUUUAUCAACUAAGUUAUCUGUUGCAGCUAUCAAUAGAAUUAUAUUUGUGUUGUGUUUGUUUGUGAGGUAAAAAUACUAUAACACAUGUCUACCUUAAUUAUAUUAAUUACCGGUAAGACCUGUGUUGAGGUACCUUGGUAAUAUUUAUUACCAGUAAGACACCUGUGUUGAGAUAUGUGUACCUUGGUAAUAUUUAUUACAGUAAGACACCUGUGUUGAGGUACCUUGGUAAUAUUUAUUUAAUGUUGAGAUCAUUUGUGACUAUGAUAGAAUAACAUACAAUGUUAUGUUUGUGAGGCCGGCUUUUAUCAUUGAAGGCCAGAAACUUUUUGUUUUGUUGUUUCAUAAUGAAAAAAACCCGUAAUUUUGAUCUUAAAACCAGAUCGAUACCCUGGCUGUGGAAUAUUAACCAGUGAUGUUUUAAAUAAUCUAUCCUAAAUACCUCUUGACUCCUGCCAUUCCUUACACUGUUUUCUUCCAAUUCAAAUUUUACUUUGUUAUGAACAAGUUUUACAUAAAUUUGUACAAAAUUAGUAAUGUUCACUAGGGACAUGUAUAAAGCAAGUUACGUUUGUUUGGGAAAAUGUACAAAAUUGGUUAUGUUUGCUAGGAGACAUGUACAAAGCUUAUGUUUGUUUGGUAAAUUGUACAACAUUGGUUAUGUUUGCUUGGAAUCUUGUACAAAGCUUAUGUUUGUUUGGAAAAGUGACUUCAUUUUGUCUAGGGAUAUGUACAGAUUUAGGUACGGUUUGUUUAGGGAUAUGUACAGGCUAUGUAUGGUUUGUUUAGGGAUGUGUACAGACCAUGUAUGGUUUGUUUAGGGAUAUGUACAGGCCAUGUAUGGUUUGUUUAGGGAUGUGUACAGGCCAUGUAUGGUUUGUUUAGGGAUAUGUACAGGCUAGGUAUGGUUUGUUUAGGGAUGUGUACAGGCUAUGUAUGGUUUGUUUAGGGAUGUGUACAGACCAUGUAUGGUUUGUUUAGGGAUAUGUACAGGCCAUGUAUGGUUUGUUUAGGGAUGUGUACAGGCCAUGUAUGGUUUGUUUAGGGAUAUGUACAGGCUAGGUAUGGUUUGUUUAGGGAUGUGUACAGGCCAUGUAUGGUUUGUUUAGGGAUGUGUACAGGCUAUGUACGGUUUGCUUGGGGAUGUGUACAGACCAUGUACGGUUUGUUUAGGGAUGUGUACAGACCAUGUACGGUUUUCUUGGGGAUGUGUACAGACUACGGUUUGCUUGAGGAUAUGUAUAAACUUCAAAGCUUCAUUUUACUGAAGUUCUGGGUGGAUUCUAAUACUGAGUGAUUAUUGAAGAGCUUGCAUGUCUUUUCAUUCCACAUCUGACAUUCAUGAUGGCCACUCUUAUUUCUGAUAUGCUGUGAUAUCUACAGCCCAACAUUCAAGUUCUAUUGGACCAACUAUUUUAAUAUGUUUUAGGAGCGAUACUUUUUGGGGAAAUACUUAACAUCCUAUGACAAAGUUUUAAUUUGAGGAUUAGAGGGGUUUUGUGAAUCUCUGAAUAUAACUGGAUGUUAACAAAAGGUUUACAAGUACAACUUCAUUGGGUUGACAUCAACUCAAGUGUUCAGUGAUGUACUUACAUCAACUCAGGUGUUGUAUCAGUGAUGUACUAACAUCAAAGUGUCUUCCAAACUGGCUGCUGUGAACUCUUUUUGGCAGAGACAUGCAAGACUAUAAAUUCUGAUGCACCAAUAUUGUGACUAAUUUGUUGCAGUCAUACACCAAGAUUUACUUUAAAUCAGACUAUUUCAAACUAUGUUUCAGUUUUCAAAAAUGGUUGCCAUGGUUUAUGGCUAUAAAUCUUGUUCUAUAUGUGUACUUUGCUGGAAGCCAACAUGAGGAGAAAUAACAUUUUAUCUUGUACUUGCCUGGCGGAUACAAUCAGCCACAUCUUCAGUUCUAUGGGGUCAGUUGGAUUGUUACUGGGUUUAAGUGUUGCUGAUGCUGAUUUCUUCCACAGAUAGCUUAAGUACAGAUGACAUUUUGGUCUGAAAUGGCAAUGAAAUAUGUUGAGACAUUAGAUUUUUUUGUUUGUUUUUUUCAUCGUAAACAAAGGUUUAAGUCUCAUCAAGUUUAAAAAACAAAUCUACUUAAGAAUGGAAGGUGAACUACUUUCAACUUCUUUGCUGUUAAAAUCACAAAUACUCAGGUGAGGGAUACAGGCCUAUUGAGCCUCUUGUUUACAUAACAAUCCCAUUUUUUAUUUUUGUGUGUUUUGACAUGCUUGCAUAUCAUCAAAUUGAUGUUGUUUUUCUGCCAAAAGCCCAAUCACUUCCUGCCCUAUAUUUACAGAUGUGUUGAUUGAUAUGAUGAUAUGGAUAAGAAUCAAAAUCUUUGAGAAAAACUAACUUUUAACUUCCAAUUAUAUCAGUAUUCAUAAUGAUGGUCACUAAGUAGUCUUAUAGAACAUGGAAUGUGUAUGGUAAUCUGUGCCUAAUUCUCUCAUCACCAUCACCAUAUUUAUCUUGCAAGCCCAUUAGACUAGUGCAGUUCAGUGGAAGUCCUUUCAAAUGUUACUUCAUUGCUCUGCAAGCUUAACCCUCUGUUUAAGUCAAAGUAUAUGUUGCCGGCCCUGGCCUUAUUACAGAAUUAAUAGGUAAUAUUUCUAUAGUUGAUUAGUCAUACCUACUUUUUAACAUUCAGCUAUAUCUACGGUAGAUUAUAAUUUGACCACACUUAAUUUUCACCGACAAAAAUUGACUACAGUUGAUGUUGUAGGGAAUGUCAUUAUAAUGUAGUACUUGUCGAAUGGCUGAAAUACAUAUUUGUAACAUUGAUAAUGAAAACACAGUCGUCUACAGACAUAUUCUUCAAAAGAUGCAAUAUUUCUGUUAGCAAGUCUGUUGUACACCAUACUAUUUAAGUAUAAAUGCAUGUUUCUAUAAUGUGUUGUGUAUAGUUAACCGUUAAUGUAUUUUGUAUAUUUUGAUAGGUAAUCUGUUUUCAAUCACAAAGUGGUUUUCAAUGUUUGUGAAAUAUGUAAAAUUGAUCUAACAAAGUCUAUUUUAUAAACAUUUUAUCUUGGAGUUGGCAUAAACAAUACUUCUAUAUAUAUAUAUAUUCUUUGUGAUACUGUAUAACACAUGUAAACAUUCUAGUUGUCAUAUCAGUCCCAGUGAUUUAUAUAGUAUUAAACAUCAUUGAUCAAAACCCCUGAAAACAUUACCCUCCCAACACUUUGUUUGGAAAAGUAGGUACUUAAAAUUACUUUGCUAUUUGAGUCAUACCAAAAUCUUUAUUUUAUUAACAUUUCAAGCCAAAGUUUUUUUAACAAAAUUAGAACAACAACUUCGUCCAUUAUAUACAUUUUUUUACUUUUCUAUUCUAUUACGAUAUUUUGGUUAUUGAUCAUGUUUAUCUUGAUGAGUUGUGUUAUAUUUUUGUUUGUGCAUUUGAAUAAGAAGUAAUGCAGAUCUUCAUUGUGGUGUUUUUUUCUGAACCUGCUAGAAUCUCUUUGUAUUUAGUCCCUGAUACCACAUUAAUGAAUUCUUUUUGUGUUAAGGUUAUAUUCUGUUUAUACAGUAGGUUUAGCUUGAGGUCUGAUUACAGAGACUUUCCUAUAAGUCAGGGUUCAGUUUACACAGUAUGUUUGAUGACAUAAUAUGUUGUUGCUGACAGUGAAUAAAGUUCCACUCAAAGGAAUUCAAAAUUGA